rnacentral:rRNA from 1 species
AAUCUACCCAAUGGAGGGGGAUAGCUCGAGGAAACUCGAAUUAAUACCGCAUAAUCUCCACGGAGUAAAGAGGGCUUCGGCUCUCGCCAUCGGAUGAGCCUAUGCAGGAUUAGCUUGUUGGUGAGGUAAAGGCUUACCAAGGCGACGAUCCUUAGCUGGUUUGAGAGGAUGACCAGCCACAUCGGGACUGAGACACGGCCCGGACUUCUACGGAAGGCAGCAGUAGGGAAUAUUGGACAAUGAGCGAAAGCUUGAUCCAGCCAUGCCGCGUGUGCGAUGACGGCCCUCGGGUUGUAAAGCACUUUAGGUAACGAGGAAAAGUUAGGUGUUAAUACCAUCUAACCUUGACGUUAAUUACAGAAUAAGCACCGGCUAAAUCCGUGCCAGCAGCCGCGGUAAUACGGAUGGUGCAAGCGU